CGUGGCGCUUGGAGCUGCAGGCGCCCUGUGUGACAUGUGCUCACCAGGAUGAGGACAAGUCCGCGUGUGAAACACGGCAGAGUGGGAAAGCAGAAUGAGUCCAGAUGCGCAAUGACGCUGGACAACGGCUGCUGUUCAAAUCCUGCCCAGAUGUAAGGGUUCCUUCCCACGUUCUUCCCCCGCAUCUGGGGAGUCCGCGUCUUUAAGGAAACCCCACGCUCACCACGGCGGUGAAGCUGCUCGGAGAAGGUCGCCAAGGGCCUCGUCAUCGUCAUCGGUUCUCCACCUGCAAGACUGUGGAGACUCCCACGGCCACGGCGACCCCACACCCACGUCACCAGCGCAGCUCUCUCCUCAGCACCCGUGAACAGGAUGUGUCCCCUGCAUGUCCCCACAGGACCAUCAGCGCUGUCCCCCGCAAACCCCUUCUCUGUGAGCCUCCUCACCACUCACAGGAGCCUCAGCCGGGAGCCUCAGAGCCACUGCUCCCAACCACCCUCUCCCCCAAAC